rnacentral:tRNA from 1 species
CCCUGGGUGGUGCAGUAGUUAACACACUUGGCUGUUAACCAGAAGGCUGGAAGUUCGAGUCUACCCAGAGGUG